rnacentral:rRNA from 1 species
UACGGAGGAUCCGAGCGUUAUCCGGAUUUAUUGGGUUUAAAGGGUGCGUAGGCGGUUUAUUAAGUCAGUGGUGAAAUCAUCGGGCUCAACCCGGUCAUUGCCAUUGAUACUGGUAGACUUGAGUACAAAUGAUGUGGGUGGAAUUGGACAAGUAGCGGUGAAAUGCAUAGAUAUGUCCAGGAACUCCGAUUGCGAAGGCAGCUCACAAAGAUGUAACUGACGCUGAUGCACGAAAGCGUGGGUAGCGAAC